rnacentral:rRNA from 1 species
CCUACGGGUGGCAGCAGUGGGGAAUAUUGGACAAUGGGGGAAACCCUGAUCCAGCGACGCCGCGUGAGUGAAGAAGUAUUUCGGUACGUAAAGCUCUAUCAGCAGGAAAGAAAAUGACGGUACCUGACUAAGAAGCCCCGGCUAACUACGUGCCAGCAGCCGCGGCAAUACGUAGGGGGCAAGCGUUAUCCGGAUUUACUGGGUGUAAAGGGAGCGUAGACGGCAUCGAAAGUCUGGAGUGAAAUGCCGGGGCUCAACCCCGAAACUGCUCUGGAAACUGUGAAGCUGGAGUGCAGGAGAGGUAAGCGGAAUUCCUGGUGUAGCGGUGAAAUGCGUAGAUAUCAGGAGGAACACCGACGGCGAAGGCGGCUUACUGGACUGUAACUGACGUUGAGGCUCGAAGGCGUGGGGAGCAAACAGGAUUAGAUACCCUGGUAGUC